GUAGUUGACGUUGGUCAGCACGGAGGCCACAGGAUCCCAGCCCGGCCUUUGUGGGACUGAGGUGGCGCUGAGUGGGAGAGCAGCAGGCGAUGCGCGAAAGGCGGGACUUGGAGAUAAAUACUGAGCACCCACAACAGGCAGCCAGCACCACUGCAGAUUGGAUACUGCAAUGAUGAUAAGCAUGGCCUGCCUUUAUGGAGGUUCUGGAUGUUCCUGUGGAUAACCUCAAGGAGCACGGGACCUGGGACAUGACUGCCCCCAGCAUUCCUUCUGGCGGCAGACAGAGUUUGUCAGUUCGCCAACAUCCUGCUUUCAUGAGAACAGUUUGCUGUUUGCUCACAGAGCCUCCAGUGGUAUACUGAGUUGGUCACGACCCUCAUUCCUUCGGCCUCCAACAUCUCCCCUUUUGUUUUUGCAUUAAUUGAAUAAAGAUUCCGCUGGCUCAUGGCUCGUACUGGAGGUAACAGGCCCACGGUUGAAUACCAUGGAUCCCUCCGGUCUCCCGUUCCAUGGUCACACACACCUGGAGGGCACCCACACGGUUUGUCCAUCUCCUGUAAAAACACAAGCAUACCCUCGUCCCCACGUCAGCAAAUCCACCGGACCUUUCCAUUGUCCUUCUUCUGGGGAUUUCCAUAACACUUUUGGAUAAACUUGCCUCUUUUCCUCUAGCAGUUGCCAGUGUCGUUCUGCUGGGGUCUUGCCAUCCGUACCAGGAGUCAAACAAUUUAAAGUAAACAAGGCUAAAUGUAAUUUUGUUUGAAGUGGUAAUUGGUCCCCUAUUCUCCCUUUUUGUUUUUUCAGCAUGCGUUGUAGUGUUUGAUGUACCCGCUCAAUAAUGCCUGGCCCUCAGGGAUUGUAUGGAAUUCCUGUUUUAUGAUUGAUUGCCCACAAUUGUAAAAAAUUGGGAAAGCAUGACUAACAUAAGCGAGUCCACUGUCAGUUUUAAAUUGUUUAGGGACCCCCAUAUGGGCAAAUGACGACAGACAGUAUCGUCAGACAUGACCAGCUGUUUCCCCAGUUUGGCAUGUGGCAUGUAACAUAUGGGAGUAAGUGUCUAUAUUACAUGAACAUAGCGGAGUUAGCCAAAGGCUGCUAUAUAUAUGUAACAUCCAUCUGCCAGAUUUCAUUUGGAGCCAAGCCUCGUGGGUUGCAUCCUUCCACAGGUGCAACACCAGGGACAUGCUGGCAAGUGGGGCAGGCUUGCACAAUAACUCAAGCCUGGCUGCGAGGCAGAUGAAACAUACGAGUAAGGGCAAGUUGUUCUGAUGCAGUAAAGCAUGGGAAGCUUGGGCUUGUUGAAAUAUAGAACUGAUGAAUUUAUCUGCUCUAUCAUUACCUAGAGAUAGUGGCCCCAGGAAGUUGUGUGUGAGAUCGGAUAUGAGAAAUAUGAAAAGGGGCAGCAUGAGAGCGAACAGCUUUUUGGAGUCUCAGAAAUAGGUUAAGCAGUUCUGGUUUUAAGGUGCUCUUGUGUGGGCGGCAAGCCAUCCAGGCGCCGAAGCAAGAGACAGAGGACACGGGCUGUUCCAGUAUAAUAAAAUAUAAAACAAGAAUAGUUAUACCAGAUAUAGAUCUUAGAUAUGAUUAUAUAUGAAUAUCAUUAAUCAUUAGUUUGUAGCAAUUACUUUUUAUUCCAAUAUUACAAUAAUCCUUGCUCUAUAAUCAUAGCCUAGGAAAAACCAGGCCAUACAGAGAUAGGAGCUGAGGGGACAUAGUGAGGUGUGACCAGAAGACAAGAGUGCGAGCCUUCUGUUAUGCCCAGACAGGGCCACCAGAGGGCUCCUUGGUCUAGUGGUGACGCCAGCGUUUGGGAAGACCGUGGUCUAGCGGUAGCGAAAAGUGUCAAGGAACAACACCCGCUACUUAGCAGACCGGGAAAGGGUGGGGGGCGGUCUCCCUUUCCCUGGGGGAGGUUAGAGAAGACUCUGCUCCUCCACCUCUUGUGGAGGGCCUGACAUUAGUCAGGCUCGCCCACAGUUAUCCGGAGGCCUAACCGUCUCCCUGUGAUUCUGUGCUUCAGUGGUCACGCUCCUAGUCCGCCUUCAUGUUCCAUCCUGUACACCUGGCUCUGCCUUCUAGAUAGCAGUAGUAAAUUAGUGAAAGUACUAAUAGUCCCUGAUAUGCAGAAAUAAUGGCGUAAGCUGUCUUUCUCUCUGUCUCCUCUCCCUCUCUGCCUCGGCUGCCAGGCAGGGAAGGGCCCCCUGACCAGUGGACACAUGACCCACGUGACCUUACCUAUCAUUGGAGAUGACUCACACUCUUUACCCUGCCCCUUUUGCUUUGUAUCCAAUAAAUAAGAGCGCAGCCAGACAUUCGGGGCC
ensembl:lncRNA novel transcript, antisense to ERVK3-1